rnacentral:lncRNA from 1 species
UUUGACUUAAUGAACCUAUUUGCAAAAAGUGCUAAGUGGAGCAAAUGAAAAUGGAGGUGUGUAUUGGGCACGAAUUGGGCUUGAAUUAUGCUGCCAAAGACCUACAGGUUUGCUGUUUGAAACCUACUCAUGAAUUGCUCACUUGGUUUUUACUCUUUGAAGCCAAUUGCACACUUUUGUCAAUUUUGCCUUUUGGCCAAAAUAGUGAUAUGACAAUGGUAUGAACAUGAAAUGAUGCUUGGAACAUGUCACAAAUAAUG